UGGUUCAAGGAUGAAAGACGGUUUCGGCUGUCACUUACAGAUGGACCCGCGGCGCAUUAGCUAGUUGGUGGGGUAAUGGCUCACCAAGGCGACGAUGCGUAGCCGACCUGAGAGGGUGAUCGGCCACACUGGGACUGAGACACGGCCCAGACUCCUACGGGAGGCAGCAGUAGGGAAUCUUCCGCAAUGGACGAAAGUCUGACGGAGCAACGCCGCGUGAGUGAUGAAGGUUUUCGGAUCGUAAAGCUCUGUUGUUAGGGAAGAACAAGUGCGAGAGUAACUGCUCGCACCUUGACGGUACCUAACCAGAAAGCCACGGCUAACUACGUGCCAGCAGCCGCGGUAAUACGUAGGUGGCAAGCGUUGUCCGGAAUUAUUGGGCGUAAAGGGCUCGCAGGCGGUUUCUUAAGUCUGAUGUGAAAGCCCCCGGCUCAACCGGGGAGGGUCAUUGGAAACUGGGAAACUUGAGUGCAGAAGAGGAGAGUGGAAUUCCACGUGUAGCGUGAAAUGCGUAGAG
rnacentral:rRNA from 1 species